ACAGCAGUAGCCGCGGGAAUACGUAGGGUGCGAGCGUUAAUCGGAAUUACUGGGCGUAAAGCGUGCGCAGGCGGUUCGUUAAGACAGAUGUGAAAUCCCCGGGCUUAACCUGGGAACUGCAUUUGUGACUGGCGAGCUAGAGUAUGGCAGAGGGGGGUAGAAUUCCACGUGUAGCAGUGAAAUGCGUAGAGAUGUGGAGGAAUACCGAUGGCGAAGGCAGCCCCCUGGGCCAAUACUGACGCUCAUGCACGAAAGCGUGGGGAGCAAACAGGAUUAGAUACCCCAGUAGUCCCUGUCUCUUAUAC
rnacentral:rRNA from 1 species